AAAAAUUUAAUGAUGAGCAACGAUUUACCUUGGGACACCUAUGAAAACAUUUGAUUAGUGUAAAUUAUUAACUGAUUUUG